UUCAACAUUAGAGUUCUUUUCUUUUGCUGAUUGCUUCAAGUAUUAAUUUUUUUGGUCGCUUUUGUCUUGCUGUUUAGGUUUCACACAUAUACAAACGAGUUGUAGCUUAAAGUGUUGUCGUAAAUGGUUCUGUAAUUGGCGGGUAAAAAUAGGAAAAAUUGGAAGAGCUUGAGACAAUAGAUAAUGUUUCAGUCAUAUGCAUAGAUUUGCUGCAAAACGUGGAAAGUACGAGUAUAAUUGUACUUUUUGAUGAAUGAAUCCUUGGUUUCGUUGUUAAAGAUUGUUCAUGAAGUAAGGCUGAAUUUGUUGUUUGUGGCAUCACUUGGAUUCUUUAAAUAUGGGUUUGUGACAAAUUUAUUAACUUCUCUUUAUGUUAUCCCAAUUUGAAACAUUUUUAUAUAGUUGUGGUUGUUUGGAAUAUUGGGUAAUCACUAAAAAUUGUGCAGUAUCUGUGAAAAUACAUGACUAAGGUAAUUAGCAACUAGAUUGUUUGAAAAUUUACUUGGCUAACAUUAUGUAUUGUUACUUCUGAAAUGGAGCUUCAACUGAUAGUAAGCUAGAGAUCUUCAGGUACCAGUCUUUAUUCAAUGAAUUGAAGCACCAUAUAUUUUUUUAGUACAUCUAUUUUUUUCCUGUUUAAUCAAAAUGGUUGACUUAACUGUGCAAAUGAAAAAAUUUACUAUUUCAAUAUUACUUAACAAAAGCAUUAAACCUGACCAAUUCAUACUACCUGUCCUCUUUUGUUUUUCUAUAAACUUAAUUGAGGGUUUUGUUUUCUGUUUCCAAUUUACAGGUGACGAUGAAUUCGAUAAGUUUUAUUUCCAAAAGAAGUACAUUGAAGAUGGAGCAUGAAAAAAGUGAUUUUGAUGUCAACGAUUAUGGUGAGGAGGAUAAGGAGAAACAAGGAGAAGAGGGAAAAAAUCGAGAUGAGGGAACAGUUGAGGAAGACCAAAGUGGAUGGAAUAAUGAUGAGAUGGAAUAACUUGAGAAAGUGUAUAAGGAUCUUCAAAUUAGUUUUGGAUUUUUAAGUGAGGAGUUACUACACUUUUUAAUACAAUUUUUCAGUGAUAGGUGGUAGUAGUAUGCAGUGAGAGUGGUUCCCACUUUUCGGCAACCAGUUGGGUUGAGAUUGUAGCUGAAGAUUUGAAGUUUAUCAUGAAAGUCAGACUAGAUUGGAAAGGAGAUUUUGGAAGUCCAGAGAAGCAGGGGUG